rnacentral:rRNA from 1 species
GGGGAGUACGGCUGCAAGCCUAAAAACUCAAAGGGAAUUGCCGGGGACCCCGCACAAGCGGUGGUAGACGCGGUUUUUAUUUGAUGCAACCCGAAAAACCUUACCUCCCCUUGUCAUGUCAGGGAUGCAGGAGAGGUUUGGGAGGGGUCUAAAGAGAACCUGAACCAAGGGUGUGCAAGGAUGUCUUUAGUUCGUUGCGUGAGAUGCUAGAGUAAGUCGCGAAACGAAGGCAUCCCUUGUCCUUAAUUCCCAUCCAUCAGAUGGGCAUUUUAAUGAGACUGCCGGUGACAACCCGGAGGAAGGUGGGGGUGACGUCAAAUUGUCAAUGUCGUGACUGUUAGGGUUUCACCCGUCAUACAAUCGGUGGUCCCCAGGGUUUCCCACCCCCGAGGCGGAACUCAUAUCAGAAAGCCAAUAGUAGUCCGGAAUGGAGUUUGCAACUCGACUCCCAGAAGUUGGAAUCGCUAGUUAAGGGGGAUCAGCAUGUCGCGGUGAAUCCGUCACCGGGUCUCGUGCUCACCGCCCGUC